UACGUAGGGUGCAAGCGUUAAUCGGAAUUACUGGGCGUAAAGCGUGCGCAGGCGGUUAUGUAAGACAGUUGUGAAAUCCCCGGGCUCAACCUGGGAACUGCAUCUGUGACUGCAUAGCUAGAGUACGGUAGAGGGGAUGGAAUUCCGCGUGUAGCAGUGAGAUGCGUAGAUAUGCGGAGGAACACCGAUGGCGAAGGCAAUCCCCUGGACCUGUACUGACGCUCAUGCACCGAAAGCGUGGGGGAGCAA
rnacentral:rRNA from 1 species